rnacentral:rRNA from 1 species
GUGCCUACGGGGCGCAGCAGUAGGGAAUAUUGCUCAAUGGGGGAAACCCUGAAGCAGCAACGCCGCGUGGAGGAUGAAGGUUUUCGGAUUGUAAACUCCUUUUGUUAGAGAAGAUAAUGACGGUAUCUAACGAAUAAGCACCGGCUAACUCCGUGACAGCAGCCGCGGUAAUACGGAGGGUGCAAGCGUUACUCGGAAUCACUGGGCGUAAAGAGCGCGUAGGCGGGAUAGAAAGUCAGAUGGGAAAUCCUAUGGCUCAACCAUAGAACUGCGUUUGAAAAUGUUAUUCUAGAGUAUGGGAGAGG